UCCUUUGGUGCUCCGUGUGCUUAUUGUA
rnacentral:piRNA from 1 species